GAGGAAGUCGCGGCUGAUUAGCUAGUUGGCGGGGUAAUGGCCCACCAAGGCUUAGAUCGGUAGCCGGCCUGAGAGGGCGCACGGCCACACUGGAACUGAAACACGGUCCAGACUCCUACGGGAGGCAGCAGUGGGGAAUUUUGCGCAAUGGGGGAAACCCUGACGCAGCAACGCCGCGUGGAGGAUGAAGUCCCUUGGGAUGUAAACUCCUUUCGACCAAGACGAUAAUGACGGUACUGGUGGAAGAAGCACCGGCUAACUCUGUGCCAGCAGCCGCGGUAAUACAGAGGGUGCGAGCGUUGUUCGGAAUUAUUGGGCGUAAAGGGCGCGUAGGCGGUGCGGUAAGUCACCUGUGAAAUCUCCUGGCUCAACUGGGAGCUUGCAGGCGAAACUGCCGUGCUAGAGUGUGGGAGAGGUGCGUGGAAUUCCCGGUGUAGCGGUGAAAUGCGUAGAUAUCGGGAGG
rnacentral:rRNA from 1 species